GACGAACGCUGGCGGCGUGCCUAAUACAUGCAAGUAGAACGCACUUGCGAACGGGUGAGUAACGCGUAGGUAACUGCCUCAUAGCGGGGGAUAACUAUUGGAAACCAUAGCUAAUACCGCAUACUGUGAGAUGGACCUCCGGUGUAUUAGCUAGUUGGUGGGGUAAAGGCGCACCAAGGCGACGAUACAUAGCCGACCUGGGGGGGUGGUCGGGCACACUGGGACUGGGGCACGGGCCAGACUCCUUCGGGAGGCAGCAGUAGGGAAUCAUCGGCAAUGGACGGAAGUCUUACCGAGCAACGCCGCGUGAGUGGAGAAAGUUUUCGGAUCGUAAAGCUCUGUUGUUAGAGAAGCGGUACCUAACCAGAAAGGAACGGCUAACUACGUGCCAGCAGCCGCGGUAAUAC
rnacentral:rRNA from 1 species